rnacentral:rRNA from 1 species
AGCGAGCAUUCGGGGAGUCAGGAUCAAAUUCAAAGGGAAAACUAUACAUAACGAUGGGAUAGAGUCCACUGAGGAAUUUGAUCUUGAGUAAAACAGAAGACCGGCAGCAUCGUUCAAGACGCAGGAAAGGAAUGUAUUGCUGGAACGCAUAGCAAAAACGUCACUCAUUGCGAAGGGGGAAUACGCUGCA